UAAUUGUUGACAAAGAUACCUUCAAUGCUAUCUAAAUAUAAGCUUUGAAACAUGUCGGGCUUACACGAAAUAUAUUGGCUUGCUACGCGCCUGA